rnacentral:rRNA from 1 species
GACGAACGCUGGCGGCGUGCUUAAUACAUGCAAGUGGAGCGACGAACCAGGCUUCGGCCUGGGGCAGAGCCGCGAACGGGUGAGUAACACGUGGGUAACCUGCCUCGAUGACCGGGACAACCCGGGGAACCCGGGCUAAUACCGGAUGUGCUGUCCCACAUCAGUGGAGACAGGAAAGGAAGCUUCGGCCUCCGCAUCGAGAUGGGCCCGCGGCCCAUUAGCUUGUUGGUGUGGUAACGGCUCACCAAGGCUGCGAUGGGUAGCUGGUCUGAGAGGACGAUCAGCCACACUGGGACUGAGACACGGCCCAGACUCCUACGGGAGGCAGCAGUAGGGAAUCUUGCGCAAUGCGCGAAAGCGUGACGCAGCAACGCCGCGUGGGGGAANAAGGCC